rnacentral:snRNA from 1 species
GUGCUUGCUUCAGCAGCACAUAUAAUAAAAUUGAAACGAUACAGAGAAGAUUAGCAUGGCCCCUGAACAAGGAUGACACUCAAAUUUGGGAAGCAUUCUGUAUAUAU